GGGGCUGUAGUUCAGACGGUUAGAAUGCUUGCCUGUCACGCAAGAGGUCGUGGGUUCGAUUCCCAUCAGUCCCG
rnacentral:tRNA from 1 species